UACGGAGGGAGCAAGCGUUACUCGGAAUUACUGGGCGUAAAGCGUGCGCAGGCGGUUGUGCAAGACAGAUGUGAAAUCCCCGGGCUUAACCUGGGAAUGGCGAUGGAAACUGGCGGGCUGGAGUGCGGCAGAGGGGGGUGGAAUUCCACGUGUAGCAGUGAAAUGCGUAGAGAUGUGGAGGAACACCGAUGGCGAAGGCAGCCCCCUGGGCCGACACUGACGCUCAGGCACGAAAGCGUGGGGAGCAAACAGG
rnacentral:rRNA from 1 species